rnacentral:rRNA from 1 species
GAUGAACGCUGGCGGCGUGCCUAAUACAUGCAAGUCGAGCGAACAGACGAGGAGCUUGCUCCUUCGACGUUAGCGGCGGACGGGUGAGUAACACGUAGGUAACCUACCUAUAAGACUGGGAUAACUUCGGGAAACCGGAGCUAAUACCGGAUAAUAUUUCGAACCGCAUGGUUCGAUAGUGAAAGAUGGCUUUGCUAUCACUUAUAGAUGGACCUGCGCCGUAUUAGCUAGUUGGUAAGGUAACGGCUUACCAAGGCAACGAUACGUAGCCGACCUGAGAGGAUGAUCGGCCACACUGGAACUGAGACACGGUCCAGACUCCUACGGGAGGCAGCAGUAGGGAAUCUUCCACAAUGGGCGCAAGCCUGACGGAGCAACACCGCGUGAGUGAUGAAGGUCUUCGGAUCGUAAAACUCUGUUAUUAGGGAAGAACAAACGUGUAAGUAACUGUGCACGUCUUGACGGUACCUAAAGAGAAAGCAACGGCUAACUACGUG